rnacentral:rRNA from 1 species
UACGUAGGGUGCGAGCGUUGUCCGGAAUUAUUGGGCGUAAAGAGCUCGUAGGCGGUUUGUCGCGUCUGCUGUGAAAACCCGAGGCUCAACCUCGGGCCUGCAGUGGGUACGGGCAGACUAGAGUGCGGUAGGGGAGAUUGGAAUUCCUGGUGUAGCGGUGGAAUGCGCAGAUAUCGAGGAGGAACACCAAUGGCGAAGGCAGAUCUCUGGGCCGUAACUGACGCUGAGGAGCGAAAGCAUGGGGAGCGAACAGG